CUCUUCCUCCAGACUGGAGAAGCCGCGAGCUCCCAGGGGGACCGAUGAGUAAGUAGGUCUCUGCCCGGGUUCCAGUGUCCUGAACCUCUUUCCGGGUGCUGGAGCUUAGAAUCUGCACCGACGCGGAGAUCCCGCUUAGAUCCAUGCUGGGAAGGCCCAAAGGUCAGCGGUGGAAGCCAGAAAGUCCAUGCCAGCGGGGUGAAGGAGCUGUGCUGGUGGUAUGAGGGUUCUACACUGGAGCCAAGAAGUCAUGCGCACAACAAAGACCAGGGCUGUCCUGAAAGGCACCACAGCCAUCUUCAGCGACACGGAAGCCCUGAGCUCUUCCCACAAUAAGCACAGUCGGGUACCUGGCAGGAAGCUAGCAUGACGAGUUCAUCCUGGAGACCAAGUGGCACACAUCUUCCCUCCAGAGCCAGGAAGCAAUGCUUGAUGUGAGGACCAGAGCUUCUCCAGGAGAACCAACGGCUCAACCAGCAACUCAGAGGAGAACCCACAAUGCCUCAGUGCCUAAACACAGCAAUGCAUUAAUGCCUCCCUUCUCCUUCUCCAGCUGUCUAUUUAUGCUGGCAACUUUCCUCAGGUGGAACGUCUAUGCUCAGUGUCAUGCUGAUGUAAUCCAGCUGGCAUUAAGUUGACCACCAGUUCUUAAUCCAUAACAAUGUGCAAUAUAUGAUUGUGGUACAAAAAGUUUUAAAUACAAAGAA